UACGUAGGUGGCAAGCGUUAUCCGGAUUUACUGGACGUAAAGGGCGUGUAGGCGGGAGUGCAAGUCAGAUGUGAAAACCACGGGCUCAACCUGUGGCCUGCAUUUGAAACUGUACUUCUUGAGUACUGGAGAGGCAGACGGAAUUCCUAGUGUAGCGGUGAAAUGCGUAGAUAUUAGGAGGAACACCAGUGGCGAAGGCGGUCUGCUGGACAGCAACUGACGCUGAGGCGCGAAAGCGUGGGGAGCAAACAGG
rnacentral:rRNA from 1 species